GAGCGAACCUUUNGGGAGCUUGCUCCCAUUGAUUAGCGGCGGACGGGUGAGUAACACGUGGACAACCUGCCUGUAAUACUGGGAUACUUCGGGAAACCGGAGCUAAUACCGGUAUAAUCCAUUUCCUCUCAUGAGGAAAUGCUGAAAGUCGGUUUCGGCUGACACUUACAGAUGGGCCCGCGGCGCAUUAGCUAGUUGGUGAGGUAACGGCUCACCAAGGCGACGAUGCGUAGCCGACCUGAGAGGGUGAUCGGCCACACUGGGACUGAGACACGGCCCAGACUCCUACGGGAGGCAGCAGUAGGGAAUCUUCCACAAUGGACGAAAGUCUGAUGGAGCAACGCCGCGUGAGCGAUGAAGGCCUUCGGGUCGUAAAGCUCUGUUGUUAGGGAAGAACAAGUACCGGAGUAACUGCCGGUGCCUUGACGGUACCUAACCAGAAAGCCACGGCUAACUACGUGCCAGCAGCCGCGGUAAU
rnacentral:rRNA from 1 species